UCAUAUGGUCCCACCUUAUUAAUUUUAUUUUCUACUCCUUUUCAGGCAUCGUAUGCCUCAGUUACUUUCCUAGAGAUUCCAAGAUUGGAAUUUCCAAUUUCCACUGUUCUGUAUUGCACUGUUUUCUAGGUGCAGCUUGAAUACUGCUUCUACCCUGAAGCUUUCUCAUCCUCUGAGCACCUCAUGGACUGUAGCCAAAGGGCUCUCAAAGCCACAGGCAGUCUGACAAAAGUGCUCUCCCCUUUCCUCCAUAAGGAAUUACAACCUGUAUGUCUGCAAAUCUACACUGCCUCAUCCCUCCUUCUCAGUGUAUGACCUUGCCUUGCUAACUCCAGAGAAAUUUCAGAGAUAAAGGUGAAAAGUCCUUAAUUUCCUAACAGCAAACCUACAGAUUUAGUAUCUAAACCCACCUUUUCUUCCUUUUCCUCACGUAAAGGACAUCUUUCCUCUAAAGCCAAUCCUUCCUCCUCUCCCCUAGGAUCCAUCCCUUCCUGUUUUUCGAAGGGCUAAGUUUCUCUCCUAUUAGCUCCUUUCCCAGAAGCAUUUGAACAUGCCCAUCACUCCAGAUUUACAAACACAAAACCUCCGAACCCCAUAUAACAUUUCUCCUUUGCUUACUACCCUCUUCCCCUCACUUUGACGAUCUCAAGCAAAAUUCUUUCCCUAGCUUCCAUGUGCCCCUGCUAGUUUCCCACCCCUCAUGACUCCUUUCCAACCUCUAUUCGUCUCUUGAUUGUUGUCAUCCUACCCCUGGGGAAUCAGUGACCACUUACAUAUUCAUGAAUCCCAAGUCUGUCCUGAAACCUCUCCUCCUUGUGUCAUUAUCACAGCUCUUACCAAGGGAACCAGUCACUGGACUACAUAUCAUGAUUAACUACUCUGAAGCGUACCACAUAGAUGAGGAAACUGGAUUUUGACUAUGUGCCUAAACUACAUAGCUUUCAAGAGGCAGAGCCAGGAUUUUAGUAUAGAUUGUCUGCAGUCUUUGCAUAUACACCCAGAUAGUCUACAUGAAAACUAACUCAUUUUACCUAGAUAAACUUUACCCUGCCUCAUGUUCCCUCACAACCAAUGAACCAGAGGUACAAACCAGAAACCCUGACACAUUGUUUUCUCCCUUAUUUCUGCAGUCCAAUGCAUGAUCAAGACCACCUAAAUGGCAUUACCACUGUCACUUCCUUGGAUUACUGCCAAACUUCAUACUGCCAACCCGAGCAUUCCCAGUCUUGAUCCCAUAAGAUUCAGUCUUAACAGUUCAAUGAUCUAAAUCUGAGAUAUCACGCCAUUUUAA
rnacentral:lncRNA from 1 species